AAUUGAAGGUUUUCUAUUGUCUUUUUAACAGGUUGCUAGAUCAUAAAUUGGCCUUCUGGUAUCCUUUGAAGCUCAUAUCAUGGUAUUCUGAGGUAUCCCAGUUUUCACAUCCUAUGUGAAGAUUAAAGAGGCGGGAGGCGAUGGUUCCACACCAAAUCAAAAAAGUGUCCCAAUAGGAACACGACACAAGUGGCCGUCAGUGAUUACAUAUAGGAGCAGUGGUGGACAUCAGCCUUCACACUGCGGAGAUCUCCCAAGGAUGGCGGCGUACCGCUCUUCCUCCAUGGCCUUCCGCCUCAUCCCCGCUGCUUCCAAGACGAUAACAACUUUCCGCUCCUCUUCCUCCUCGAACGGUUCCAUCUCCUCGCUACUCCGCGGCGACGGACUCUCCCGGGGCCCGGUUUUCGGGUGGGGUUUAGGCGGGUCUCGUCGCGCUGCGUCUGCCGCCGCGUGCUUGCCGUCGGAUCCGGCGCAGCUGAGGAGCGCCAGGGACGACAUCAGGGAGCUCCUCAAGACGACAUUCUGCCAUCCUAUUCUGGUCCGUUUGGGUUGGCAUGAUGCUGGCACAUACAAUAAAAGUAUCGAGGAAUGGCCAAGGCAAGGUGGAGCUAAUGGAAGCGUGCGAUUUGACAAAGAAUUGAAACAUGCAGCCAAUGCUGGCCUAGUAAAUGCUUUAAAGCUUCUUCAGCCUGUCAAGGACAAGUAUUCAGGUGUUACAUAUGCAGAUUUGUUCCAAUUAGCCAGUGCUACAGCUGUUGAGGAAGCUGGUGGCCCCAAAAUCCCAAUGAAGUAUGGUAGGGUAGAUGCCUCUGGACCUGAACAGUGCCCUGAGGAAGGGAGGCUUCCUGCUGCUGGGACACCUUCACCAGCAUCUCAUUUAAGGGACAUAUUCUACAGAAUGGGUCUAAGUGACAAGGAUAUUGUUGCAUUGUCUGGCGCACAUACUCUAGGUAGGGCCAGUCCGGAACGUAGUGGUUGGGGAAAACCAGAAACAAAAUAUACGAAAGAUGGCCCUGGUAGACCUGGUGGACAGUCAUGGACGCCUCAAUGGCUGAAAUUUGAUAAUAGCUACUUCAAGGAAAUCAAAGAGCGAAGAGAUGCAGAUCUGCUAGUUUUGCCCACAGAUGCUUCUUUAUUUGAAGAUCCAUCCUUCAAGGUAUAUGCCGAGAAAUACGCGGUUGACCAGGAUGCAUUUUUCAAAGAUUAUGCUGAAUCACAUGCAAAACUCAGCAACCAAGGUGCCAAGUUUGAUCCUCCGGAGGGCAUCUCAAUAGAGCAUCACUGAGAUACAGACAUCUGCGAAAUGGUUCCUUGAAGAGAAGUAUUCAUGUGGUGAGAAAAAAAGUUAGCUACCUUAGGCUAUGAAUUAGAAGACAACUGCAGAGUGUGGAAAGAGGCAGCCCACAUUCCUCCUGAAUUUAUUAAUUCUGAAGUAUCAUAAUCUCUAUUGCUGGCUUUGGUUUCUGCAAGUGUCUUCUUGCAAACAGCAUUCUGAAUUGGAUUUUUGUUUUCCACCGCUACCCUGCCAUCUUUAGGUGCCAGAAAAUGAUGCCUGUAUAAUAAAUCAACUACCAGGCAAUUCUGCCUGCAAUUUUGCAUUAAAAUCAUGUGCAAUGGUGGCUUGGCCUCAUCGAUCUUA